UACGAAGGGUGCAAGCGUUAAUCGGAAUUACUGGGCGUAAAGGGUGCGUAGGCGGUUGUUUAAGUCUGUCGUGAAAUCCCCGGGCUCAACCUGGGAAUGGCGAUGGAUACUGGGCAGCUAGAGUGUGUCAGAGGAUGGUGGAAUUCCCGGUGUAGCGGUGAAAUGCGUAGAGAUCGGGAGGAACAUCAGUGGCGAAGGCGGCCAUCUGGGACAACACUGACGCUGAAGCACGAAGGCGUGGGGAGCAAACAGG
rnacentral:rRNA from 1 species